rnacentral:tRNA from 1 species
GCCCAGAUAGCUCAGUUGGUAGAGCAUCAGACUUUAAAUCUGAGGGUCGAGGGUUCAAGUCCCUAUUUAGAAG